UUGGAAACGACUGCUAAUACCGCAUACGCCCUACGGGGGAAAGGAGGGGACCUUCGGGCCUUCCGCGAUUGGAUGAACCUAGGUGGGAUUAGCUAGUUGGUGAGGUAAUGGCUCACCAAGGCGACGAUCCCUAGCUGUUCUGAGAGGAUGAUCAGCCACACUGGGACUGAGACACGGCCCAGACUCCUACGGGAGGCAGCAGUGGGGAAUAUUGCACAAUGGGCGAAAGCCUGAUGCAGCCAUGCCGCGUGUGUGAAGAAGGCCUUCGGGUUGUAAAGCACUUUCAGUAGGGAGGAAAGGGUGUUACUUAAUACGUAAUAUCUGUGACGUUACCUACAGAAGAAGGACCGGCUAACUCCGUGCCAGCAGCCGCGGUAAUACGGAGGGUCCGAGCGUUAAUCGGAAUUACUGGGCGUAAAGCGUGCGCAGGCGGUUUGUUAAGCCAGAUGUGAAAUCCCCGGGCUCAACCUGGGAAUUGCAUUUGG
rnacentral:rRNA from 1 species